rnacentral:rRNA from 1 species
AUUGAACGCUGGCGGCAUGCCUUACACAUGCAAGUCGAACGGCAGCACGGGAGCAAUCCCGGUGGCGAGUGGCGAACGGGUGAGUAAUAUAUCGGAACGUGCCCAGUCGUGGGGGAUAACGUAGCGAAAGCUACGCUAAUACCGCAUACGAUCUAUGGAUGAAAGCGGGGGAUCGCAAGACCUCGCGCGAUUGGAGCGGCCGAUAUCAGAUUAGGUAGUUGGUGAGGUAAAGGCUCACCAAGCCGACGAUCUGUAGCUGGUCUGAGAGGACGACCAGCCACACUGGGACUGAGACACGGCCCAGACUCCUACGGGAGGCAGCAGUGGGGAAUUUUGGACAAUGGGCGCAAGCCUGAUCCAGCAAUGCCGCGUGCAGGAUGAAGGCCUUCGGGUUGUAAACUGCUUUUGUACGGAACGAAACGGCGAGCUCUAAUACAGCUUGCUAAUGACGGUACCGUAAGAAUAAGCACCGGCUAACUACGUGCCAGCCGCCGCCGUAACAC